rnacentral:rRNA from 1 species
UUUCCAGAGAUGGAUUGGUGCCUUCGGGAGCUUACAGACAGGUGGUGCAUGGUUGUCGUCAGCUCGUGUCGUGAGAUGUUGGGUUAAGUCCCGCAACGAGCGCAACCCCUAUUGUUAGUUGCCAUCAUUCAGUUGGGCACUCUAGCGAGACUGCCGGUAAUAAACCGGAGGAAGUGGGGAUGACGUCAAAUCAUCAUGCCCCUUAUGACCUGGGCUACACACGUGCUACAAUGGUUGGUACAACGAGUUGCGAGUCGGUGACGGCGAGCUAAUCUCUUAAAGCCAAUCUCAGUUCGGAUUGUAGGCUGCAACUCGCCUACAUGAAGUCGGAAUCGCUAGUAAUCGCGGAUCAGCACGCCGCGGUGAAUACGUUCCCGGGCCUU